rnacentral:lncRNA from 1 species
UCCCAUGCUUCCUUUGAAGUGGACGCACCAGCAAUCUUCUCAAAAAUUGCCUCAUCAACAGCUCUAUACAACAUGUACAAAGCUGCCUUAUCUUUCGAUCGCAUCUCUUUCAAUGCCUUGGUUUGAGCUGCCGUAUAACCCGUGGUAUUGGUUGGUUCUUCAAAACCUUCUUCGACCACCUCCCAUGAAUCCUGAGAACCGAGAAGAGCUUUCAUUUGAAUGCUCCAGUUGUCAUAUCUGGUUGCCUUCGUUAACCGUGGUAGCGGUAUUUGACCUGUCACAUUCGCCAUUGGCUCUUGAUACCAAAUUGU